rnacentral:rRNA from 1 species
UACAGAGGGGGCAAGCGUUAUUCGGAAUUAUUGGGCGUAAAGGGCGCGUAGGCGGCGAUUCAAGUGACGGGUGAAAUCCCUCGGCUUAACCGAGGAACUGCCUGUCAGACUGGGUUGCUUGAGACCGGGAGAGGCGAGUGGAAUUCCUGGUGUAGCGGUGAAAUGCGCAGAUAUCAGGAGGAACACCGAUGGCGAAGGCAGCUCGCUGGGACGGUACUGACGCUGAGACGCGAAAGCGUGGGGAGCAAACAGG